rnacentral:tRNA from 1 species
GAAGGUAUAGCUCAGUGGUAGAGUGUGUGCUUAGUAUGCACGAGGUCCUUGGUUCAAUCCCCAGUACCCCCA